UGCGGAGGGAUCAUUAUAGAGUUUCUAACUCCCCUAAACCAUCGCGAACUUAUCACGUAUACCCCCCGUUGCCUCGGCGGGCGCGCGGGCCGCAAGGCCAGCGCGCGCGCCGGGGGGGCGAGGGCCCAAACUCUCUGUUUUUAUAGGCCUCUCUGAGUAUUGCUUCCAAUAAGUUAAAACUUUCAACAACGGAUCUCUUGGUUCUGGCAUCGAUGAAGAACGCAGCGAAAUGCGAUAAGUAAUGUGAAUUGCAGAAUUCAGUGAAUCAUCGAAUCUUUGAACGCACAUUGCGCCCGCCAGCACUCUGGCGGGCAUGCCUGUCCGAGCGUCAUUUCAACCCUCGAGCCCCCGCGGCUCGGUGUUGGGGCUUCCACGGCCGCCGUGGGCCCCUAAAACCAGUGGCGGGCUCGCUACGACCCCGGGUGCAGUAAUAUUGCCUCGCCCGGGCGGCCGCAGCGGGCUCACGCCGUGAAAAACCGCCGCCGCAAGGCGCCGAUACCACAAGGUUGACCUCGGAUCAGGUAGGAAUACCCGCUGAACUUAAGCAUAUCAU
rnacentral:rRNA from 1 species